UGGGGAAUAUUGGACAAUGGGCGAAAGCCUGAUCCAGCCAUGCCGCGUGUGUGAAGAAGGUCUUCGGAUUGUAAAGCACUUUAAGUUGGGAGGAAGGGCAUUAACCUAAUACGUUAGUGUUUUGACGUUACCGACAGAAUAAGCACCGGCUAACUCUGUGCCAGCAGCCGCGGUAAUACAGAGGGUGCAAGCGUUAAUCGGAAUUACUGGGCGUAAAGCGCGCGUAGGUGGUUUGUUAAGUUGGAUGUGAGAUCCCCGGGCUCAACCUGGGAACUGCAUUCAAAACUGACUGACUAGAGUAGGGUAGAGGGUGGUGGAAUUU
rnacentral:rRNA from 1 species